AUGGCAUCAUCUUCGCAGGCGCCCUGGUCGUCCGUGUCCGGCGAGCAGGAAGAGCGGGAGCUGAAGGAGGGCCACCUCAGGCCAGCGGCCAUGGCUGUGGAGGGCCCGGGCUGCUGUGCCCAGCGGGGACACGGAGCGGCGUCCACGGACGAGCCCGGCCCGGGAGAGAGCCGCAGAGCGCGGCCGGACUCCGCGGGGCUCGGCUCUGGCCAGGCAGGCGCGGCUCGCCGACGCCUCCCACGCCUCCCGCGACGGUGGCCCGGCAGCCGCGCGCGCUCCUCUCCUCGCGGGCGCGCGCCGCCGCCCAGACGCUCCCAGGCCGUUGCCCCGCCCCCUCCGGCGGUGGACUGCGGACAGGGACAGGGACAGGGACACCCUCCUGGGAGAACUCCUGGGGCCCCGCCCACACGCUUCGGACCUUCGCGGAGCGGGAAGGUGCGCUGACAGGGACGCAGGGUCCCCGCCAAGCUCGCUCUCGGGGAACUGCAGCCUCCUCCCUCGGGUUUUACUCGAACGUCAGACCCGAAACCACGCAACGUCUACAAGCAAACCCUUUGACAUCAGUCUUAGCAGCCUAUGUUCAAGUACCACGUCUGACUGGGCAAUGGAAACAAAAUACAAAAUGAACAAACGGGACUACAUCAAAGUAAAAAAAUCUUCUGCACGGCAAAGGAAACCAUCCACAAAACCAAAACGCAACCUAACACCUGGGAGAAGAUACUUGCAAACCGUAUGUCGGAUAAGGGGUUAAUACCCAAAAUACAGAAAGAACUCAUACACCUCAACAACAAAACAAAUCAACAACCCAAUUAAAAAAACGGGCAAAAGAUCUGAGCAGUGACUUCUCCAAAGAAGAAUCCGGAUGGCCAACAGGCCUAUGGAGAGGUGCUCAACAUCAUUAGCGAUCAGACAAGUGCAAAUGAAAACUACCAUGAGACGUCACCUUACUCUGGUCAGAAUGGCUCUAAGUAGCAAGACAAGAGACAAGUGUCGGAGAGGAUGUGGAGAGACGGGAACUCUCCUGCACUGCUGGUGGGGGCGCAGACUGGUGCAGCCACUAUGGAAAGCAGAGGGAGUAUCCUCAGAAAACUAAGAAUAGAUCUACCGUUAUGAUCCGGCUAUCCCACUGCUGGCUAUUCAUCCAAAGAACUCGAAGACACAAAUGCAGAAAGACACGUGCACCCCUAGGUUCACUGCAGCAUUAUUCACAACAGCCAAAACUUGGAAGCAACCUAGGUGCCCAUCAAGGGAGGAAUGGAUAAAGAAGAUGUGGUACGUAUACACAAUGGAAUACUACUCGGCCAUAAGAAAUGAUGAGACCCGGCCAUUUGUGACAACCUGGAUGGACCCUGAGGGUAUUAUGUGAAGUGAAAUAAAUCAGAGGGAGAAAGUCA
rnacentral:lncRNA from 1 species